rnacentral:rRNA from 1 species
GUUUGAUCCUGGCUCAGGACGAACGCUGGCGGCGUGCAUAACACAUGCAAGUCGAGCGAAGAACUUAUUAUGAAAUCUUCGGAUUGAUUAGUAAACUUCUUAGCGGCGGAUGGGUGAGUAACGCGUGAGGAACCUGCCUUGCACAAGGGGAUAGCCUCGGGAAACCGGGAUUAAUACCCUAUGAUACUUUUAGUUCACAUGAACUUAAAGUUAAAGCGAUUUAGCGGUGUAAGAUGGUCUCGCGUCCCAUUAGCUAGUUGGUGAGAUAACGGCUCACCAAGGCUGCGAUGGGUAGCCGGCUUGAGAGAGUGAACGGCCACACUGGAACUGAGACACGGUCCAGACUCCUACGGGAGGCAGCAGUGGGAAUUAUUGCACAAUGGAGGAAACUCUGAUGCAGCGACGCCGCGUUGAGGCGAUGAAGGUUUUCGGAUCGUAAAGCUCUGUCCUAGGGGACGAUAAUGACCGGUACCCUAGGAGGAAGCCCCGGCUAACUACGUGCCAGCAGCCGCGGUAAUACGUAGGGGGCGAGCGUUGUCCCGGAUUUAUUGGGCGUAAAGGGUACGCAGGCGGCCAUGUAAGUCAGAUGUGAAAGAUCACGGCUCAACCGUGGUAAGCAUUUGAAACUGCUUGGCUUGAGUUAAGGAGAGGAAAGUGGAAUUCCUGGUGUAGCGGUGAAAUGCGUAGAUAUCAGGAGGAAUAUCAGUGGCGAAGGCGACUUUCUAGACUUAUACUGACGCUGAGGUACGAAAGCGCGGGGAGCAAACAGGAUUAGAUACCCUGGUAGUCCGCGCUGUAAACGAUGAGUGCUAGGUGUCGGGGGUCAAACCUCGGUGCCGCAGUUAACACAUUAAGCACUCCGCCUGGGGAGUACGUUCGCAAGAAUGAAACUCAAAGGAAUUGACGGGGACCCGCACAAGCAGCGGAGCAUGUGGUUUAAUUCGAUGCAACGCGAAGAACCUUACCAGGACUUGACAUGCCUCUGACCGAUCUAGAGAUAGAUCUUUACCUUUCGGGUACAGGGGACACAGGUGGUGCAUGGUUGUCGUCAGCUCGUGUCGUGAGAUGUUGGGUAAGUCCCGCAACGAGCGCAACCCUUGCCUUUAGUUGCAAACAGUUAGGCUGUGCACCUCUCUAGAAGGGACUGCCGAUGAUAAAUCGGAGGAAGGUGGGGAUGACGUCAAAUCAUCAUGCCCUUUAUGUCCUGGGCUACACACGUGCUACAAUGGUCGGUACACUGGGUUUUGCCACCUCGCGAGAGGGCGCUAAUCCCUUAAAGCCGAUCUCAGUUCGGAUUGCAGGCUGCAAUUCGCCUGCAUGAAGCCGGAGUUGCUAGUAAUCGUGGAUCAGAAUGCCGCGGUGAAUGCGUUCCCGGGUCUUGUACACACCGCCCG